rnacentral:rRNA from 1 species
AGAGUUUGAUCCUGGCUCAGGAUGAACGCUGGCGGCGUGCCUAACACAUGCAAGUCGAGCGAAGCACUUUGCUUAGAUUCUUCGGAUGAAGAGGAUUGUGACUGAGCGGCGGACGGGUGAGUAACGCGUGGGUAACCUGCCUCAUACAGGGGGAUAACAGUUAGAAAUGACUGCUAAUACCGCAUAAGACCACAGCACCGCAUGGUGCGGGGGUAAAAACUCCGGUGGUAUGAGAUGGACCCGCGUCUGAUUAGCUAGUUGGUAAGGUAACGGCUUACCAAGGCGACGAUCAGUAGCCGACCUGAGAGGGUGACCGGCCACAUUGGGACUGAGACACGGCCCAAACUCCUACGGGAGGCAGCAGUGGGGAAUAUUGCACAAUGGGGGAAACCCUGAUGCAGCGACGCCGCGUGAGCGAAGAAGUAUUUCGGUAUGUAAAGCUCUAUCAGCAGGGAAGAAAAUGACGGUACCUGACUAAGAAGCACCGGCUAAUACGUGCCAGCAGCCGCGGU